rnacentral:misc_RNA from 1 species
UCUCCGUUGGUGAACCAGCGGAGGGAUCAUUACAGAGUUGCAAAACUCCCAAACCAUUGUGAACGUUACCUAUCCCGUUGCUUCGGCGGGCGGCCCGGGCCCCGCGCCCGGCGCCCCCCGGCCCCCCGUGGGCGCCCGCCGGAGGUAAACCAAACCCUUGGAUUGCAUGGCCUCUCUGAGUCUUCUGUACUGAAUAAGUCAAAACUUUCAACAACGGAUCUCUUGGUUCUGGCAUCGAUGAAGAACGCGGC